CCGGCUUUAGCUCAGUUGGCAGUAGCGAUUGGCUGUAAUGUUUAGAGUCACCAAUAGGUCCCCAGUUCAAAUCUGGGAAGCCGGA